UACGAGAGGCCCAAACGUUAUUCGGAAUUAUUGGGCGUAAAGAGCUCGUAGGCGGUUUGUCGCGUCUGCCGUGAAAGUCCGGGGCUCAACUCCGGAUCUGCGGUGGGUACGGGCAGACUAGAGUGGAUGUAGGGGAGACUGGAAUUCCUGGUGUAGCGGUGAAAUGCGCAGAUAUCAGGAGGAACACCGAUGGCGAAGGCAGGUCUCUGGGCAUUAACUGACGCUGAGGAGCGAAAGCAUGGGGAGCGAACAGG
rnacentral:rRNA from 1 species